rnacentral:lncRNA from 1 species
UAUAUACAUAAUAAAAUUCAAACUAUAGAAGAAUACCUCGCGCUUAAUCCAAAUUUCGGCAGAACCUCCACCAGGUGCCUAAGUAUUCGCCCUCUAACAAUGAUCCACAUAGGGCUAUGAUUAGGACACCAACUCCUUGAGAUGAUUCCUUCUCCAAAAUUCUCACUCUGAGAAUCUUCUUGGACACCAGAACCUCAAAACCCUCUUCCUCUCCUCCUAGCCUUCCUAUCCCUAUCUUUCUUUUCUUCUUGUCUUCGUUAAUUCUCUUUCUAGGCUUUUGUCCUAAAAUUGGACUUGUCCUUACUAUUUUUGGACUUAUCCUAAC